GUACUCGCUUUGGCAGCACAUAUAUUAAAAUUGGAAAGAUACAGAGUAGAUCAGCAUGGCCCCUGCACAAGGGUGACAUGCAAAUUCAUGAAGCAUUCCAUAUUUUA
ensembl:snRNA U6 U6 spliceosomal RNA